GACGAACGCUGGCGGCGUGCUUAACACAUGCAAGUCGAACGAAGAGCGAUGGAAGCUUGCUUCUAUCAAUCUUAGUGGCGAACGGGUGAGUAACGCGUAAUCAACCUGCCCUUCAGAGGGGGACAACAGUUGGAAACGACUGCUAAUACCGCAUACGAUCUAAUCUCGGCAUCGAGGAUAGAUGAAAGGUGGCCUCUACAUGUAAGCUAUCACUGAAGGAGGGGAUUGCGUCUGAUUAGCUAGUUGGAGGGGUAACGGCCCACCAAGGCGAUGAUCAGUAGCCGGUCUGAGAGGAUGAACGGCCACAUUGGGACUGAGACACGGCCCAGACUCCUACGGGAGGCAGCAGUGGGGAAUCUUCCGCAAUGGACGAAAGUCUGACGGAGCAACGCCGCGUGAGUGAUGACGGCCUUCGGGUUGUAAAGCUCUGUUAAUCGGGACGAAAGGCCUUCUUGCGAAUAGUGAGAAGGAUUG
rnacentral:rRNA from 1 species